rnacentral:rRNA from 1 species
UACGUAAGAGGCAAGCGUUGUCCGGAAUCACUGGGCGUAAAGCGCGUGUAGGCGGCUUGGUAAGUCGGAUGUGAAAUCCCCGGGCUCAACCCGGGAACUGCGUCCGAAACUGCCUGGCUAGAGAACAGGAGAGGAGAGCGGAAUUCCGGGUGUAGCGGUGAAAUGCGUAGAUAUCCGGAGGAACACCAGUGGCGAAGGCGGCUCUCUGGCCUGUUUCUGACGCUGAGACGCGAAAGCGUGGGGAGCGAACGGG